GAGGGUGUAGCUCAGUGGUAGAGUGAGUGCUUAGCAUGCAUGAGGUCCCUGGGUUCAAUCCCUGGUACCUCCA
rnacentral:tRNA from 1 species